GUAGAGAAAGGCUUGAUGACCAGAGAGGUUUGGGGCGUUGUUGGGCUAUUUUCUAGGUUUCCUUUUUUCAUCUGCUUUUUCUCAUUCAGCUGCAAGUCUGGCAUGGGAAGUCUACAGAAGAUGAACCAAAUAGCCACAAAGUCUCUGAGCUAAUUUUGAAAGGUGGGGAUUUGGGAGUAAGUGGGGACUGGGAGAGCUGGUCAGGGUGAGGAAUGGCUGCCAGGGGGCUUUGAAUGCACUCGUUUGAAGUUUGUAUCUGUACCAGCAGCUGUGGAAUCUGCAUGCCAUGAACCAGUUGGCAGGUAUAGACAAUGAACCUGGCAUUAUGAAUAGCAAGGUUGGGAGCAGGUGGGGAAAUUGGGAUUUGAGAGGCCAGCAAGCAGGAGUUUGCAAUGUUCUGAAGGGUUUUGGUGAUUAGAAAAGAACAGGUCAGCUGGGUGCAGUGGCGCAUGCCUAUAAUCCCUGCACUCUGGAGGGCCAAGGAGGCAGGUUGCUUGAGUCCAGGAGCUCGAGACCAGCCUGGGCAACAUGGCGAAACCUCCAUCUCUACUAAAAAUACAAAAAAAUAUAUAUAUUCAGGAGUGGUGGUGCACACCUGUAGCCCCAGCUACUCAGGAGGCUGAGGUGAGGAUCAUCUGAGCCCAGGGAGUUGAGACUGCA
rnacentral:lncRNA from 1 species